CUUAAUAUUUGGCAAGACUUGUGUUGAUAGAAGAGGAAAAACACAACGUUCAAACCAAAAGAGCUAAAAACAAACAGGGCUGAAGAGGCUACAAUGUCAUGUCAUGAGAAUAUGUCUUUAAAACUGUCAGCAGGGCAUCCUUGCAUUGAGAUAGUGGGACAGGAGGGUAAUCCCAGUGAGUGGCUAAAUUUUCUUAUCUUCUUGCUAACCCAGAGUAGAUACUUUGGACUCACUUCUCAGUCUCCCAUGCUGCAGUUUUGUGCUGCUAUGUCAGUAUCUUUGUUACCGUUUUCUUUCUGGGAUUAGGUGAAUGAAGAAGGGGCAUAGACAGACUGACUAUUGGCCAAUGGGGAGUAGAAAAAUGGGGACUCAUGUCUGACAAUCUCCCUCUUCGCUGCAUUUCCUUUCACACAAGGAAGGCCUUGGUGCCUGUGGUGGAGGAACACAACAUCCAGUUUGGCAAUACUGAAAAAGGAACUCAUCAGCUGCAAACUCUAAUAAUUCAGCAAGAUUUCUGGAAGCAUUUGGUUACUCCAGUUUCUGCAUCUUAUCCCUGAGAUAAUGCCAUGCCAUUUCUUAUGAUGAAAAAAUUCACUCCUAACCUACUUUAUGAGUGGAGGCAAGUGAGGUAAUGUAACUGGCACACUGAAUGAACAUUUCUGGGCUUAAAAUAGGAUCACAGAAGAGGCAGAUGCUUCUCUUCAUCGAAGAACUUCUAAAGCUAACUAACUAUUCAGCAGAUCAUUUCCUUCAGAGAGGAGAGGAGGAAAUCGCAGGAUAUCAACAGCAUCUAAAUGUUUAUUUAUACAAUUGAUUCCCUCUGUGAGGGAGAUGGGUGUUUCAAAAUUUGCUAAACAAAUACAAUGACAGGUGCAAGCAAGCGAUCAAGGUUUUGCCCUUUUUAAUAUGGACCAUAUUCAUUGCAUGCAUUUAAAAAGGAGCAGGACUUUAACUAUCCUGGUUGAGUCUUCAGUUUGACAUUGUUUGGGAGUGCAAGGCUAUAUAUAACAGAAUUUCAAAACCGUAUAAUGCUAUGUAUCUCAAGCUUUCUUUGGUUUCAUUUGAGUCAUUGACAGACGGUGCUUAUUAUUCAAUCCCCAGAAAAGAGCCAACAAAUCAGCAGUCGUCCAACUCUGCUGAUGCUGACCAUCUCCACUGAUCACCAUUAACAGAUCCUAUUUUUUUAAUAUAAAUGUUAUUGCAUUU